rnacentral:lncRNA from 1 species
UUUUUUUUUAAGUUCAACCAGGAACGUGCUCACUGUCUUUGUAGCUCAGUGUCAGCAGCCCAGAACUCAUCGGGACCUAGCAAAGGGACACCCUUCAGUGGCCCUUGCGUGGAUCAAAUGUUGGCUGCAUGUACAUCUGUUUGCAUGUCCACAUGCCUGCAUAGGAUUUAUAUAAUCAUUGCUAUCUAUGAUUCUGACAGACACAGAGAUGCGAUAUAUAACACAAACAACUAAAAUUGCCGUUAUCAUGAGAGUUGAUCUACAGUGAUAGAACAAAACAAAAGGAAGAUCAGAGAAUCUUUUCUAGAGAAAUUAAGAAAGCAUAGAACAUAAGUUCCCAUGUAGAGAGCUGAUAUCUUAAAGUAGUAUUUACAUUUUCAGGAAUGCUUCCUCCCUCUUCUAAAUUGGAGUCACAACAAUCAUAAGAAAAAUCCAUUUGCAUUUUCAAACCUUCUGAUUUUCUAGGGGAGUGAUGGUCAGCAGUGAUUACUUCUUGCCUAUGACUGAUGGUAAGUAUUAUAAAUAAAUGUUCCAGGAAAAUAGCCAUGUGCCCAUGCCCUGCCUGACCAUACUGCACACACUUGCCUGACCAUCCCUUGCACUGAAGUAACUACCCUAAGGACAAGUCCUCCACAAAGCCUGUCUAUCAGCAACAAGGGCCUAGAAAACUCAGCUUUCUUGUUAAUUUCCAAGUGUUCUUCCUGUUAGACCUCGGCCUAGUCUUUGAAAUAUAAACCAAUUUGCUUAUUUCUUCUCUUUGAAUUUGCUACCCUGAGAACAGUCAGUAAAUCUAAAAAUAAAAUAGGCAAAGAAACAUAUUGAUCUGAUGAAAAGGCAAAAAAAAAAACAGUAC